AAUUUUCUACCACAUUUUAAUUUUAGUUUGGUUGGAAUACAUUUUGGUUAACGCAAAUGUAUGUUUCAUUUGUUUUGCACAUUUGUAUUCCCACAUCAAGCUUAUGUGACCGGUUGAAUGUCUUUAAAAUGAAGACAAAUAGACAUGCAUAAAUAAUGGGUGCAUUUUAAAUCCGAAGACACGCCCACUGCUGUGGAGUUGCGCUUUGACAUUGAGCACACUUGUGCCACGUAAUUAUGUCGGCGUGUUUGUGGCUUUAUAAAAAGCACAGUUGAGUGGGGGCACUUUGAUUCCUUUCUUAUCUGUAGGCUGGGUGGCUAAAAAAAGGUAUUUUUAUCUUCUACUUUCCUGUGGCUUUCCCCUGGUGAGUCGCUUGUUUUAUUUUAUUAGUUGCUAAUCAUGGUCUGAAUGUGUUUGUAGGUAGGUGUGCAUGAACGCAGGUAGCAUAAAGUGACAAUAGUUUAACCCCGUUUGUGAGAUCAGUAGGUGGCGGUAAUGCACCUUUCGUUGGUCUGCCAAACCGCCAUAAAACACCAUGAGAAGAAGAAGAAGAAGCUCCUGGCCAGAUUAUCUUAUCGGCUUCCUAGCCCCUGAGAUGAUUCUUGCCAUCCUGCCUGCUCUAGUUCCUGUUUCUGAUCCUGAUCAUCCUGCCUGUUCUGGAACCUGUCCUUGACCUCUGUUCUGCCCUGCCUCUGGUUUUGAAGUUUGGACUGUUUUUGGUUUAUGUUUUGCUGGUUUCUGGAUUUUUGGACUGUUUUGGAUUUUGGUUUUGUCUUUUCCUGCAUUGCCCUUUUUGCCUGUUUUGACCCUGGAUUGUUUUGGAUUCUGUUUUUGCCUUUGCCCCUUGGCCUUACUUUAUACAUUAAAUUCAGUUUUUUUUCCAUAA